CGCGAUGUGUCUAAGUUGAAAGCAAUCCUUGAUAAAGCUGGUAACGUUUCUCUUCCCAUCCCCAGAUAUCAUUGCUUGCCUAAAUUAAAAUAGAACUGCAAUUUUGCCCAAGUCAGAGCAUGCCUAAACCACACAUGGCUCUUGUUAUAUCUAAAGAAGACAAGAUAUCAAAGUAUACUUUGCAAAUAGCUGUUUUAGCUUACUUAUGGAGUGCUGUAUCUUUUAAUGUUUGCAGGAAUUCCCUACACUCUUAGCCGGUCCGGGAGGCCUGCAAUCUUUACACGAGAUCCAGAUGCAAAUGCUUUAGAGUUCACUCAAGUGGAUGACUGAUAUAUUUAUCCAUUGGGUACAAGUUUUUAAUACCCUUGUUGUUUCUACUUCACAAACACCAAAUGACUGUAGAAAUUGCAAAUGUUAGAAUGUGCAGGAACAUGGAUUUAAGCACUGAUAUCAUAUAUAGGAUCACAGAUUACACGAAGCCAACUGUGCUUGCUGUUACGUUUUUGUGAGCAAAUUUUCAAAUGAUGAUGAGGAUUGGACAAACAAUUCGCCUCUCAUUCCUUUUUAAUCCUCUAUGUAUAAAGGGAGAAUUAUUAUCAAGUCCUUGAGAUUUUAGAAAAUUCAUUAGUUCAUCCGUGUUUCAAAAUCACUCGAUUAAAAUGCUCAUAUAUUUUGUAAAAUAAAACUCUUUAAUUGAUCAAUAACAUAUUCAUUUUAUCUAUAUUGAAUGAAAAGAACAUUUUGAGAAAUUAUAAAUUUUAAGUCUAGCUUGCUUUUGUUCUCAUGUUUUAAUGGACCAAAAUAUAAUUAUAUUAAAUUAGGUGGAGUUAAUAUACAUUAUUUAUACUUAAUUUAUUGUAAAAAAUAAAAUUAGAGGAUUAAUUAAAAUCUACUAAACAGUUCAAUUAAGAGCAAAUGGUGCUAAAUUUCAAUUUUUUUUGGCAAUUUAUAUUUUAAUAUAAAAGCUAAUUUUUAAAAAGGUUAACUUAAAUUAAAAACCAAAAAUAAAAAAAAUAACUAAAUAAUAUGAAGUUAUUAGUAAAUUAUAAGGAUUAACUACAGCGCAAAUCUUAAACACAAAAGUGUCUUAUAUGUAUUCUAUCAAAGUUCCCAUAAUUUUUUUAAAACAAAAAAGAAAAAUUUUUAAAAAAAAACCUCUUUGAAUUACUAACUUUUGCAUAAAAAAAUUAAUAUAUAUAAAAAAAGUAACAUUUUAAUUUGAAAAAUUAGAUUUUUUAUGACCUGUAUUUUAUGGUUCAGGUUGGACAAAUUAUCCAGAGGAAAGGGUUUGAGUACAAAGUCUAGAAAGAUUUACAAUCUACGACCAAACUCACCCAAAACAUAAAAUCUCAAUCGAACAGGAAAGAGCCCCACUCAUGAUAAGACAAAGUGGAAGCUCUUGGACCAUUCCACACCAAGAGUCGAACGAGGCCCAAUCAGAUUCAGAACGCAUGCGAGACACCUCCAAACUACCAAUACACUGUUACAACAGUAGAUAUAUAAAUAAAUUUUAAGGUGCGAAACAAAAAUAUUUUUUCUCUACAAUGUACUACAGAGUUGUUGUGUUAUUUCUUUAUAAUACAAUAAAAUCAAGGAAAUUACAAAUAUUAAUUUUAUAUUAAUAACGAUUAAAAAUAUUUUUUAAAAUAAAAAUACAUAUAUUUAAAUAAAAAUAAUAAUUUAUCAAAAAUUUUUGUUUAUUUUUUUAUUUAUAAUAUAAUUUAUCAAUUUUAAAUUAUCUUAAACACUUUAUAUUUCAAUUAAAAUUUUUCACGAUAUUUCGUCAUUUCAAACCCUAAUUUAACAACUAGAAGAUUGGAAUUUUGAAAAAAUCGCCGUCGCACACCCUUCACUUACCUUUCUCUUUCCAGCUUGUGUGAGCAAAAAGCUUGAAUUGACGAGAAGCAUCAUCUAUUUGUCGCAAUCUACUGCUUUUUUUUUUUUUUUUUUCCCUAAAAUAGAAAGAUUUCAUUGAAAGGGUAACAGAAAGGCCAGAAGAAGAGCACCAUAGAUCCAAAGCCAAAAGAAUUACAUAACAAUGAAACAAGAAUUUCUAGGAGUUUCUACUUUAUUUACUAUUAUUAUUAUUUUUAUUAUUAUUUAUAUGUAUGAGACUAAUAAUUAUGAUAAUCGUCAAACUUUGAUUUUAUAUUUUUAAAUUAAAUUUUAAUUUUUUAAAAAUAAAAUCUAUGCAAACUUUCCAUCUAUACUUUCUAGCUAAAUGCAUUAAAAUAUAAAAGAAAUUUCUUGCGUGUGUAAAUAUUUACAUAUAAUAAGAUUUAUAUGUUAAUUACUAAAAAUAAUUCUGAUAUCAAUUUUUUUUAAAGAAAAAUUAUAUUCUAAAUAUUUGUGUUUUAACUCACUACUUAAAAAUAAUUAUCAAACAGAGUUUUUAUAUAUUAAUUUCACAAUUUCAGAUUUUAAGUUAAAUAUAUGGAACGGAUUUAGGUAAAAAAAAGAAAAAAGAAGAGGGAUUUUCAACCAGAGCAUUAACCUUACUUGUGAGCACCGGCCGGUAUAAGCUCUUUCCAGUCUAAAAACAAGCGCCUAAAUAACAUAACAAUUAAGAAAUCCGGUGACCGGAAAAAUUAAAGAAUAUAGCAGCAGCAGCUAUAUCCCAACACUUAAUUAAAAGCAUGAAUUUCAUGGUAUAUUACAGCAGAAAAGGGAAUUUCCGUAAGGACAAAACAUGAAGCUGAUCAUCAAGACAUUACAGCAGAAACAGCUGAGACUGAGAGAUAGAGAGAGAGAGAGAGAGAGGUGGGCGACAGAUAGAGGGUGAGCACUCAUAGCUUCAAGCAUGAACAGCCAUGCACGAAAGCCAUGCGUGCUCACUCUCUUCUGUCACCCUCCUUUUAUUACAAACCUUAGAAAUAUUUAAAUGCAGAGAGGGAUGAACCUUAAUCUCACCACCCAUUUGCAUGCUCUUCUUAAUUAUACUCAUUCUGAACUUGGUGUUCUAGGAAAGGGAACCUAAUCUGUUGGUGGUGGUAGAUAUGGUGGUCUUAGGUGGCUUUUAUAGCUGAGAACUUGGAAGCCCAAGGAUUACAUCAUCU
rnacentral:lncRNA from 1 species